AUGGUUGUUCUCCUUCAUCUCCUCUUUUGUUUGCCACCUGGAUUGCAUCAAGUAGAGCCUCAUAAAUCAAGUUUUGCUCACUUAAUGAUAGCUGCAUUUUCAUGUAGCUCGUGGUUUCUAACUUGCUUCCAAAAAUCUCUGAAACUUCUUCUCCCUCUGGUUUUCUUGUUGGAAGCGCCUCCAAUAAAGGCUAAGGGAGAAUAUUGUAGAGUUAUCUGCUCCUGCUGCUUGAGAAUCAAGGUAAGUGUGGCCACCUUCGACGGUGGGGAUGUAUUGAGGAAGACGAUCGGAGAUGAGCUCUGGCGUCAAUGUUUCAUGUUAUAA